GAAUGUGGGCGAUGUGACUGUGACAUGUCACCCACUGAUCACCAGGGUUGAUCUGGCUGAUCUGGCUGGCUAGCCCUCACUGGUCUAUAUGCGUCCCUCCUGAAGGUGAAGAAGACACACAUCCUUGAGAAAGGACUCUGCUUUGCUCAAGAGUGCACUGGUGGCUGUGCUCCCCUUCCUGAACCUCAAACCACAGAAGCUCUUUGUUAAAAGUCCUUAAUGACAAAUCAGUAACAUUAGAAGCAAUAGUUGUGAACAGAAAAAAUGGAACAAAGAUACAUACAAAGAGGGACCCGGCAGAAUCCUCAUUU
rfam:Dipodomys ordii contig_61770, whole genome shotgun sequence.